AACGUAGGAGACAAGCGUUAUCCGGAGUUACUGGGCGUAAAGGGCGUGUAGGCGGUCUGUUAAGUCUGGCGUGAAAGCUCUCGGCUUAACUGAGAGAGGCCACCUCAUACGGCAGAGCUGGAGCCCUGCAGAGGUCCACGGAAUUGCCGGUGUAGUGGUGAAAUGCGUAGAGAUCGGCAGGAACACCCAGGGGGAAACCAGUGGACUGGGCAGGCGCUGACACUCAUGUGCGAAAGCGUGGGGAGCGAACCGG
rnacentral:rRNA from 1 species